CACAAAGAAAUGUUUCUAUCGAUAUCAUUAACUGAAACAUAUUCCAUUUUUGAUCAAUUGGUGGAUCUGACUAAUAUAGAUAUAUUGUAAGAGAUAUUAUUCACGUGCCAUUUUCUUAUUUCGAGUAAGCUUGAAACUGAUGGUCUCAGUUGGUUUGUGCAUUGACUUUCUUCGGAACCUGGAUCUAGAGAAACUAAGUAGAGGGUCGCCUUUUGUGCAGGAAUUUGCAGCAGGUCUGAUCCCUUGCGCGUGCUCCUCCGCUUGUCCUCACCCUCUCGACCCUCCCCUUGCUCAUCGCCAUCCAUUUUAUUCAGAGUGUAGAUGGCGGGCAAAACACCUAAGCUCCAGAGCAAGGAUGAAAGCACUCCAUACACACCCGCAAGGAUGAUGAUCCAUCUGUUUCUAGGAUGGUGGGACUUGAGGCAUGCACCAGAAUCAAGGAUCAGCUACUUGAUGAAAAUAUACAGGAGACUCUCCUACUCAACAUGACGUUAAAAAAAGAAUCAAGGAUCAGUUCAAUGGGAAUUGGAAUGAUGAAAACACUUGUUUGAGCACAUGUGAUCCUCAUAAUAGCAUAUUUGUAAUAAAUCAUUGUAGUCAAAACACUUUUUUUUAUAAUUAUGUAGUCAAAU